rnacentral:rRNA from 1 species
GGAAUCUUCCGCAAUGGACGAAAGUCUGACGGAGCAACGCCGCGUGAGUGAUGAAGGUUUUCGGAUCGUAAAGCUCUGUUGCCAGGGAAGAACGCUCAGUAGGUAACUACUACUGAGGUGACGGUACCUGAGUAGAAAGCCCCGGCUAACUACGUGCCAGCAGCCGCGGUAAUACGUAGGGGGCAAGCGUUGUCCGGAAUUAUUGGGCGUAAAGCGCGCGCAGGCGGUUUGUUAAGUCAGGUGUUUAAGCCCGAGGCUCAACCUCGGUUCGCACCUGAAACUGGGAGACUGGAGUGCAGGAGAGGAGAGCGGAAUUCCACGUGUAGCGGUGAAAUGCGUAGAGAUGUGGAGGAACACCAGUGGCGAAGGCGGCUCUCUGGCCUGUAACUGACGCUGAGGCGCGAAAGCGUGGGGAGCAA